CAAAGGAUUGUACUACUUUGAGUCUCCAACUUUUAACAAACCCAUGUCUGAGCACAGCUAAUGAUAAAUUAAUUUACUUUGUCCAGGAGUGUGUCUGAGUUUCCUGCAGCAUCAGGAGAGGGAGAGAGAGACACCAUGAUUCCUACCAAGAUGCUACUGCUCUUGCCGUCAAUGGCUUUGCUGGCCUUGGGGUCUGCUCAGGGCAUCGAUGACGGUAAAUUGGGGAGAUAGAAGAUCAUGCAAGCAUGCGGGAGCUAUAUAAGUGAGAAACUCCGGAUUUCUCCACAAGAAGAAGACUACACCUAUAAUUUAAAGGUAAGUAGCUCUUCUCCUUUUCUCAUCCUCUACUUCUUCUUCUUUACCUUUUCUUCUUCUUGCAUUCUUCUGCU
rnacentral:lncRNA from 12 species